rfam:Thelohanellus kitauei scaffold03580, whole genome shotgun sequence.
GGCUUGGUGGUCUAGCGGUAUGAUUCUCGCUUAGGGUGCGAGAGGUCCCGGGUUCGACUCCCGGCCGAGCCC